UUUUUUUUAUUUCUCGCUUUUUUUUUUGUUUUGUUUUAGAGCAAAUCCUGUGACAUUUUGCUUAUUUUAUUUGUUGCAAGGUUCGUGACUGUCUCACUCCUUUUGCAAGUAAGGGGUGACCAUUUUGAAUUUGUGAUUCCAUCCUCUUGAGAGGGAUAUGAUAUGAUUGAUCAUUUGAUGUGAUAUUCUCCUUUUGAAAUUUGAACGCAAGAUCAAACUAACUGAAUACUACCCUGCCCCUAGUUAAACAUGAGGGUUUUAUGUGUUAAGAAAGAAAC
rnacentral:lncRNA from 1 species